GAUAAGUUUAAUGUAUUUUGAAAGAAAUAAGUUUCUUUAUAAAUUUUAUAAAUUCAGUGUUUAUAAAGUCUACAGUUUUGUACAAUGAUGCCCUAGGCAUUUACGCUCACUCACCACUUACUCACUAACUCUCCCAGAGCAACUCCUAGCCCUGCAAACUUCAUUUAUAGUAAGUGCCCUAAUCAGGUAUACCAUUUUUGAUGUUUUGACUGGAUUUUUUACUGUACCUUUUUUUAUGUUUAGAUACACAAAUAUUUACCGUUGUGUUGCAGAUGCCUACAGUAUUCAGCACAGUAACAUGCUGUAUAGGUUUGUAGCCUAGGAUCAAUAGGCUGUACCACAUAACCUAGGGUGUCAGUUUCUUGGUCGGGAAUGAAAAUAGUGCCAACCUGUGAUACCUUCACUCUAAUUUUACUUUCUGAGGAAGUUUUCUGUAAUAGUUAUUUGGUGAUAAUUAUUAAUACUGGUGAG